UCGUUCGGUGUGGGGAAGAGGAGGCUCAGGGGAGACCUUACAGCUCUCUGCAACUGCCUGAAAGGAGGCUGUGGCAGGUGGGGGUCAGCCACUUGUCUUGUGGAAGUAGUGAUGAGACCGGGGGGAACGGCCUCAAGCUGUGCCAGAGGAGAUUCGUGUUGGAUGUUAGGGAACUUGUUUUCUCUUGCGGAGUGAUGGGGUGCUGGAACAGGCUGCCCAGGGAGCUGUUGGAGUCACUGAGCCGGGAGGUGUUCAAGAGACUUUGAGAUGCCGUUCUGAGGGACAGGGAUUAGUGGGGAAAUACUGGUGGUAGGGUUAGGAUGGAUUAGAUAAGCUUGUAAGUCUUUUCCAAACUUAGAGAUUCUGCAAUUCUAUGAAUAUUUAGGUAAUAAUUCUACAAAAGCUGUGUGUAAGUAAAGGCAUCAGCUGGUAAAUGCAGAGACCGUUCAGUUAAGAUCACCUUUACUGAAAAGAGGAUUUUACAGCGUGCAUGGGGUGGAUAUUGCAGUAAAAAAUCAAAAUACAGCAUGCAGAGGAAUACUCAUAGUAUUCUCCUUUACUGAAAAAGCCGCAAGUAAUUCCUUUCUGUCUACUUGUGGUGGCAAUGCAAACCAGUGCAGGAAUUUUCGUACUGAUUUUUUGGGCAGUCUUUCUCAUCGUGGAGUGAAACAACUUUUCUCCAAACCAGCAACGUUGCUACUCUAGAACUGUCUUAAGUGAAUAGGUGUACAGAUUUAAGGGAGCCAGGCACGCCCCACCUUCUCAGCUCUGUUUAUCAACUUCUCACAAAUACAUUCUUGAUCUAUUUUAAAAUGUGGCAGAUUUUGACUUUAAGCAAGUUCUACUGCGCUGCCAGUUUUGUUUUAGUAGCUUUUUGAACUGUCAGCAGGGAAUGUUUUGCUCUGAGUGUCCCUAUGUUUCAGGGACAUCCCAGAGACCCACGGUAGAGCUCACAGAGAUUUUCACUGCAUGUUGUGUAAAGAUAAGCAUCAUAUUUUGGUGCGAGUUGGUCUCUUAUAAACAAAACAAAGAGGAAACAUGUUCAUCUGUCAAUAGAAUACUGUUCUGCUUUUUCUCCUUUGGAAUAACUGAGUGUCUCUGGAUAUGUCAUAGGUAACUUAAAUUCUGAAAGCCUUUUUUGGUUCUUCGGUUUGAGUGCAUUCUGUGGCUCCAGGCAGAUUCCAUUGGUAUUAUGCUGGCUAUCGGGUAUUAUUUUAGCUUUGUAAAGCCAAAUUCUUGUGCAGAUAACAUUUGCAGAAGUAAUUGAACAUGACUUGCUGUGUGAAAGAUAGCGGUCUCCUCAUGACUGCUGGGGGGGGAAGGGGGAGGUGUGUGUGGAAAAAAUAGAGCUAUGAGUGAGAUGGUUCAGAAAAGUGCGUUUUUAAUAUAGUAAGCGUGUAAUGAGUAACAUAAUAAGCAGUGUAAUGACACCUACUGGCUAUUUUUAUUGGUAAUCUAUAAAUUGGUGUUGUUAGACUGCUUAAAAAUAAUCCCAAGUGGUCAACAGCAAAGCACUGGGAACAAGGAGAGCGCUGCUGCUGUGCUAAGUGGCCAAAGGUGGGGGAAGUAUUGCUGUGAGAGUGAAGUUCUGAAUUCCCAGAGUGCCCUCCACCCCCAGCUGUGUUGUUUGUGCUUCUAAAUGUGGACUUUUCCCUCUUCCCAUGCAGCACUGCAUCAGUCCAUUUUCUCUAUCUGCCUGUACUGGAAAGGGUGUUUUGCUUUCACAAUGUGGAACGUUUCAUCUGCGUGAGGAGUCAUUUCUGUACAUAAAUAUUUCAUUUGAUUCUUUUCUUAGUGAUUGUUAACUAGCUGCUACUGUAAUGGAAGUUUGAAGACCUAACUCUCACAUUAACAUGCUUAACAGUGCAGACAUGACUCUAGAUGAGUGCCAAAGGUGCUGGGACGUGGCUGCCAGUGGAAGUAGGUUCAACUUCAGAAGAGAACUGUGAGUCCCAGACAAAAGUCCAGACUGAUUCCCUUCUGAGAAGUCCCUCAGGGAAGUUUAAAGCUUGUUUAGAAAGCUUCAAAGCUUUGGGGGAAGAUGUUAUGAAAGUAGUAGGAUCUGAAUUCUGAAAAUCUACCCCUAUGUUGUUGCUAUUGGCUAGAGAAGGUCAACGCGUGUGAUUUGAAAUUGCUUUUUUAAAUUAUUAUCUGGACCAAACAUCAGUCAGUCAUAUGGGCAUGCAAGUCCCUGCUUAUCAUGUUUAUCUGUUCUGCUGGGAGAAUGCUGAGCUUGCUAACGUUAAGACCAGUCAAUUGAAAAUCACAGAGAAGGCAGAAACGCAAUGCAUUUGGAAUGCUGUCUGUUCUGUUGCGAACACGCAGAGAAGUCCUGCCUCCUCGAUGCUGGAACUUCUUUAAUUUGUAGGACUAAAAACUGUGUUCUUAGAGAUAGUAGGAAUGGUAACUUUGUACUUAAGGAAGAUUUUUUUAACUGAAAUGGUAGGGAUACAAUUCUCUGCAAAUGGUACUUCUGGGUGGGACUAGAUAUUGGACACGGCCAACUGGAGCUUCCUAAUGCUGCUGCUUUGUUUAAAAACAAAACAAAAGCUUAAUUUCCUUUUGUCUGAAAAGUCAAUUUCCUUCUCCAUACUCGCUCAAUUCAAAACAGGUGGGUUUCCAGAGCAAAAGCAGUUGGGCAUUGUUUGAUGUGUGUGUAUUGCGCAGUUGGUUCUUGCCCAAUCUUGUUUCUACACGCAUAGUUUGGAAGGGCAUAUUUCUUCUCUAAAUAGUGACAUGUGGUUCAGGAUGAAUCAUUUGAGAUAGAUUGGAACGCUCCAAAUGUGUUUUUUAAAAGAUGCUGAGGAACUGCAGUAAUGUUGUGUAGUAGCUGUGAUCAAGCAGCUGGGCAUUCAGUGCAACAAAUGCUACCAACAGUACUUAACUACCGUGUGCCUUCACUGCAGAGAGGCAAUGAACAAUGCAGGUUAUUUUCAAAGCGCAUAGAAAAUGUACAAAAGCUGAUGUAAGUAGAGAAAAUGGGUCCCAGUCAUUGCUGUGCAAAUGCUUCAGGAUUUCAGGCUUUCAAUCUGAUCAGUCUUCAGGGAGCAACACCAUCAGUUAAGAUGUUAUAACAUCUCUGGAGCUCUAUUUUGAAACAUAAAGAAGCUUAAAUUUUGUAGAAUUGUAGAACUAACGGAAGUGAGAAGUGAUUUCAUGAAGUUAAAUCAACAUGCAGGGAAACAAAAAGGAGAAAUACCAGAGCUUGGCGCUUUGUGCUACUAGUUGAUCAAUAAAAGAGGCAGGUGUGGUGAUCUGUUGUUAUAUUUAAUGUUCUUUACAGAUGUGAUACUGGAAGAGAGGGUAACUUCAGAUUGUUCUCAGGUAAUCAUUAACGUGGAGUUGCCCUGGGAUCACUGGGAUUCCCUAGAGCAGAGAAAAAUGUGUUUACCUGGUGAGUGGAACGCAGCAUUUGUUCCAAGAUGGAGCCUCUUACAGAGCAAGGAAUAGACUUGUUUUGGUAUAUCAUGUUCAUGUUCGAGAUACCUUUCAUGUUUAAGGACUGGUACGACACUGUGUUCAUCGUGAUGCCAUCUUUGGGAGAUGUGUUGGCAAUGCAAAUACAGGGGAGGAACACCGCGCUUCUCUGCAAGCUGUUCAAUUUGAAAUUGAACAACCAAAAUCAACCCAAGAUCCUCCCCGAUCUGUAUGCCCUACUGCUCCUUGGACUAUGGAGCACACGUGACACUAUCCCGGGGAACAGAAUGGUAAUGUAAUGGAUGACCACAUAGAGUGGCUGAUUGCAUUUCCACCUAAGUUCUUAUUGUAGCAAUAUGGGGAAGCUAAUAUCUUGCAAGUGUUAUAUAGUUUUCUAUAUCUAUACUGAUAUAGAAUCAUUGGUGUUGGAAGGGAUCCUUAAAUGUCAUCCAGACCAACUCCCUUAAAAUGAACAGGGAUGCCUACAGCUACAUCAGGUUGCUCAGAGACCUGUCCAGCCUUAGCUUGAAUGUCUACAGUAAUGGGUCUUUCACCACCUCUCUGGGCAACCUGUUCCAGUGCUUUACUGAACUCCAUAUACUUAUAUAUAUAUAUAUAUAUAUAUUUUUUUUUUUUUUAAGAUAAGCUUUUAUGAGGUUGAUGUGAGGCACCUUCUAGUUGCAUAUAUGUCAAGAAAUCUGCACUGGUAGCAAUAAUUACAAAAUGAGCAGGACUUAUUUUCAUAGCGCUCAAAACACCAAACGACUUUCAGUAGCCAGUCACAGUGGCAAUAGGCAGUGCUUAAACGAUCUUCCUGGGCCAGCCCAAAUCUUUGCUGAGGAUAAUGUGUGAAGCAGUGGGUAGUGACUGCCUAACCUGCCACGGCUGAUAUGGCUGUGGGCACACAUAUUCUGUAUAUGAGCUGUUUCCAGCCUUUUCCUCUUGAGAAGAGCACUUGCGGUGCGGCACCAGAAAGGUCCCUCCAACAGAAUUCUGUCGGUGUGCACUCAAAGGGUAAGUGUGAGUGCUGCUCCACUUUCUGAAGGAUCAAAGUACAAGGUAGAGUGUUCUGAAGUGACCAGGGACAAUUGCUCAUAUGUACAGACAAACAUUUUCAAAACUGCAGUGCCUAGGUUAGGAUGUGAUAGGAGAUAUUUUACUGGAGUAAAAUUUGGAAUAUAAAUAGUGGAUAUUAUGUUUGAUCUUCCUGCAGAGUGUAGACACGCGUAGAGGUACUAAUGAAUAGACAUAGUAUGGACUUGACUACACAAAUGUAUUGCCUUAUCCUUAAGGAGAACUGAAAAAUGGCUAGUUGGCAAUCAUGCUGUGCUGGAAUUGCAGCCUGGCCCUCCAGCCUGAAGUUAGGACACUUUUUUAACAUUAAGUCUCCUAAUUGCUUCUUUGCAAGGAUGCACAGAGUAUGAGUGUUACGUGUGAUGCUGUUGAUCAAAUGAGGAUUAUUUCUACGCAAUCUUAACCAUCGGUAUUUUGCGUGUCAUUAACAGUUAGGGAGAAAGCAGAAAAUAAAAGCUGUAACUGAAAGAGAACGCACAGCUUAGGAUCUUUUUUCUCAAUGUGUGGAAGCAGCUCACAUUCAUAUCUUUUUGCCUCAGGGCUAGGAAGAGUCAGAUACCUGUUGUGACAUUUUAUGGAGUUCCGCUUGGAGAAAUGUAUUUGCAUAGCAAAAUGUAAUCAUCUUGUAUACCCUGUUGCCUUCAAUUACUUCCAACACACCUGGUAGGCGGGCACUUUGCUCUUUGUGAGCCUGACUGCUUUCCCUCUCUUGUGCUGGUGAAUGGAGGGGGAAGACAAGACAAUUAUCUGUCUAAUUUGAUUCAUAGAAACUGUGAGUGAAGUCUUGGAUGUUGCAGCUGCUUCUGCCCCUGAGGAAAACUUGGACAAUGUUGAGGAAGGAGUAGCCUCAGCAGCUCAAGAGAUGUCUGACACAGCCACGAGGAACCAGGACGCUGAUGCUGAGGAGUCGGGGAGAGCGUCAGAAGUUUCUGAGGAGGAGAAGGCACCUGGAGAAGUUGAUAAGGAACCCUGAAGUGAGCUGCACUGACGCCUUUGAAAAGUUUACCAGAAAAGUCUGUGGCAAUCGACCAGCUGAUUCCUGUGAGAAACCUCAGGCUCUUCCUUGGAGACAUAGAACAAGCUGUGCAGUUUGUCUCACCACACGUUACAUGUUAGGACCGGUGUUCAUUGCUGCAACAGACAACCUAAUACGACUUAAGUUAGUUAGACAGGCGCUGCUGUCAUUAACAACUCUGCUUUAGAAAGUAGCACCCAGCACCAAGUGCCAGAGCGCCACCCAGCAUGCAACAGAUAGAUGUGCUAAAUGAAGCAGUAGGCUUCACCGUAUCCCUGCCAGGUGAGCUUGUUCUAGUUCCUGGUUGUCCAGGUGUCUACUUUUGUUUCUUACUUUAGGUCCAAACUGCGGUGCUUCAUUGUGCCGCCAUCACAUUCCGCUCCAAAAUGGAAGUUAAAAGUUCUAAGCAAGUUAAAACCUUAUGCGAAUUACCUGUUUGCAGUUGUAACCAUUGGACCUUUGGCUGUACAAAACAUCUGGUUUUCCUUCUGUGUAAGCAUUUUACAUGCUAUGCUUCCUCGCACCAUAGAAGCCCAGAGUAAACAUUUUUAUAGCUCUUGCUCUGAGGACAAGAACUGUGUGCAUGUAGUAGCAAUAAGUACUGUAUUGCAGCUUGACAGAAACAAUGAGCAUCAAAAGAAAGCUGGUUGAGGUUGUUUUUAUUGCUCAGAGUGGUGGCUCAUACUUGGGGGUGCUGAGCCCCCUUCCUACCAAGCUUAGUUCGGUUUGUUAUAAUCUUUGUUUUGUUCUGCCUUAGCAGUAAGUGGCAUUAAAACAAACAAACAACAAAACAGCAUUGAGAGAAGACUCUUGGACAAAUGAGCAGAAAUGUAGGCUGUUGUGAAGCUCCUCUCAGAGCUGGCGUGUGGCUUGCAAAAUCCCCAUAGGUGGCUAUGGCACAGGUGUUUAAACGGAUGAGGAUCUUUAGGGUCUAAUGAGGAACAGAAUAGCUAUGGAAAAUCAGAACAAGCAGUUUGUGUCACAGUACUUUCCCUCUGAGAGGGGCGCGUUGCAAGUGGGACCAAAUGUGAAAAAGAGCAGGGAAAAUUAUCUACAAGACCCUUCACAAGCCAAUAGCCUUCACACUCCCCCCCAGUUUCUUGGCUUGUCAUUGUUGUCUUAAUAAUGAAAAUAUCUCUAAUAAUCAGUUUGCAUGCUGAUGCUGUCCUAACCCUGUUCUGCUAUUUGCAGGCACACAGUUGUGUAUCUACUAAAAAGUGUUUACGGAGAUCCUCAUCAGCUAGCAAGUGUUGCAGCCAUCACAGCAUAAUAAUAAUUCUAAAUGAAGCCUACAUAAAGUAUAGUGUACACAAUUAAUAUAGUAACUCUGAACCAAAAGGUCUGACUGCUUUCUCUGCAAGCAGAAAUUUGAAGAGAUGCUGGAAGGGUAAUUACAGUGUUAUUCCUACCCAUUGUGUAGAGAAAGUCAUGCUGUUUCCUUUAUUUAUAGUAAAUAAUUAGUGUCUCAACAGAAAUAUGGCCUAAUGCCUCUGCACUUGUUUGUAAAUACCUGGAAUAAUGCUGAAGCAAAAUCAGGCUCCGGAGCACCACAAAGUUCUCCUACUUAAAGGGUAAAGCCUCUGUGAUUAAACUGUUUUUACAGACAGAGCUACUGCAAUAAAAGUCUAAGGUUGAUA